rnacentral:rRNA from 2 species
AGAGUNUGAUCCUGGCUCAGGACGAACGCUGGCGGCGUGCUUAACACAUGCAAGUCGAACGAUGAAGCCUUUCGGGGUGGAUUAGUGGCGAACGGGUGAGUAACACGUGGGCAAUCUGCCCUUCACUCUGGGACAAGCCCUGGAAACGGGGUCUAAUACCGGAUAACACUCUGUCCCGCAUGGGACGGGGUUAAAAGCUCCGGCGGUGAAGGAUGAGCCCGCGGCCUAUCAGCUUGUUGGUGGGGUAAUGGCCUACCAAGGCGACGACGGGUAGCCGGCCUGAGAGGGCGACCGGCCACACUGGGACUGAGACACGGCCCAGACUCCUACGGGAGGCAGCAGUGGGGAAUAUUGCACAAUGGGCGAAAGCCUGAUGCAGCGACGCCGCGUGAGGGAUGACGGCCUUCGGGUUGUAAACCUCUUUCAGCAGGGAAGAAGCGAAAGUGACGGUACCUGCAGAAGAAGCGCCGGCUAACUACGUGCCAGCAGCCGCGGUAAUACGUAGGGCGCAAGCGUUGUCCGGAAUUAUUGGGCGUAAAGAGCUCGUAGGCGGCUUGUCACGUCGGAUGUGAAAGCCCGGGGCUUAACCCCGGGUCUGCAUUCGAUACGGGCUAGCUAGAGUGUGGUAGGGGAGAUCGGAAUUCCUGGUGUAGCGGUGAAAUGCGCAGAUAUCAGGAGGAACACCGGUGGCGAAGGCGGAUNUNUGGGCCAUUAC